AUGAAAUUCAGAUUAAUUUAUAAAUGAAGUUGUGUAUAAAUUUUUGGUCAUAAACACAAAUCUUUUAAACAGUUCGACGAGUGCGUCAAUGUUACAGUAGUCUGUUUACUGUAAGGUACUAAGCUUGGCCCGAUUCAUCUGUCAUUUAUGGAAACUAAUUCACCACUUUCUGAGACAUUCAUUUUUAUUUCACCAUCAGACAUG
rnacentral:lncRNA from 1 species